UCUAAAUUGUUUCUCUCCAAGCCACGAUCUCCACUUCUCUCUCAUAUAAACUGUUUUUUUUUUAUUAUGGUAAAAAUUAAAUCAGUUCUUCAAGCGAUGUUCCUUAAAAGCUUUCUUCUACAAAUCCCAGUUGUUCAGCGACGCAAAACAACUAAUCCCUUAAAUCUCUCCUAAACUUUCAGUAUUGAUCUUAAACAGGUUUCUUUGUAACUUUUUCUGGAUCAGUUUUUUUUUUAUUGUUCAUUGCCUGGAUUAAUACUUCAAAACCCACUAUCAACAAUUUUUUAGAUUGAUAUAGCGGAAUACAGUCAUUUUUAAAUUGAUACAGUCAUUUGCUUGCGUCAUGGAUUGUGGAGGUCGAGUUUCAAAUUGUGUAGAGAAGAAAUUGACACUGGUGUGAUUUUGGAGAAUGUACGUGUAUUAAUGACAUAUACGGGAUUCUGAAGAAGCAUCAAAGCUGAUACUGAUUUUGAAGAAGAGUUAAUGGAUGGUAUAGGAAGGUAAAUCGAAAACGUUUUAACCAUUUAUGUGAAAUUGUGUUUUUGGUUUAAGGUGUUUAUUAUCUCAAAUAAAUUUUUCAACUUUAUUGCAUCCUCUUCAAUGUCAGGAAAAAUAGGCAUUAAAUUCAGAUAAUCAAUUUAUUAAACUCAAAGGUAUUUGUUACGUUCUCUUUCUCGCAUAUAUAUACAUAUAAUUUCUUAACUAUGCUUUCGCAUCAACAUAUCAUUUAGAUUAGAGUUUCUAAUCGAGUUUGCAUGGUUUAGUCAUGUCUGAUGUGUUGCUUAUCAGUUAUGUCAUUUAGUUUAAAAGGUAUAGCAUCAUACUUUAAGUACUCAAGAUCAUCUAUUCUCAAGCUAAUGAGUAAAUUAAAUUUAGAAUUUAAUAUUAUUUUUUCAAUUGUUUACUGGUUUUUAUAUGCAGAUAGAGAUACUAAAAAAGUAUUUUUUUGUAACUGAGUAAAUAAAGUAUUGGUAAGCUAGAAAACGGCCAAUCUAUAAUUUGUACUUUUCUAAUGCUCUUGGGAAUGAGGUUUUUUUAACUCUCGAUUUCGUUGCUUUUUAAAUUGAAUUGCAAUCUAUUUAGCCUUCCCUUAUUCAUAUAUUGACGAAUAGUCUGAUUUUCUUAGUGUGAUAUUGGGAAGAUAGACGAUACUGUGAUUUGGCUCUUAAAGUAGUUAAGUUUAAUAGCUAAAGCUCAUUGCAGAUUCUAGACAUUAAACUAUCAUAACAGAGGUAUGGUUUUAUUUAAUGUUCCUUAUUACUGCUUAUAGUUUGCAAUUAAAAUGUGCUAAGACUGCAAUCUGAUUUCAUAGAUCUUGGUUGAGAAUUAUAUAGACGAUAUCAGUUUUGCUGAAAAUGGACUUCCACCUGUAGGUUUCAAGGCCUUCAAUGGCAUAACAUAAGUUAGCAAGAAUGAGAGCCUCUUUGAUUGAUAACAAUAAAAUGUGGAUGAUCGCGACUUGUCCAAUCUGGAGAAAUCAUAUAACAGUCUGAAGGAUGGUAACCUUAUCUUGUGUUAGUAAGACGAUGAAUGAUGAAAGAGUUCUUAUAGUAGUAUUAUACUGAUAAAAAGCAUUAACAUC